rnacentral:lncRNA from 1 species
CGAGCUCAGCGUGGCCUCAGCUAGCUAACCAUCCUUCCUCAGCAGCCCCAGCUAACUACCUGCAGAGGAGGAGAGAAAGAGAGAGAAAUAAAGACAGGAGGAGAGAAAAAGGAGAUAAAAACGAAGAAGAACCUGAAGAUCCUGUUGUAGAUGUGACUUCUAGAAUGUUCCAGAUGUUUCAGAUGGGGUAAUGUGUUACGAUAACAGGACUGAGUGAAACCCAGGGACACAACUAAAAUGUGUAUUUUAACUUAAAUAUUAUGGAUUUAUUAUGAAAUAAAUAUUUUUCAAACAUAGAUGGGAUUUGGAGUCACACAACAAUGCAAAACAACUUACAUCUCUGAAGGAUUUUAAUAAUUAUAAUUUUUUAAUGAUAAAGUGUAUAGUUAGAAAGUGGGGACAGGUAACAAAUGCUAUUUUUUUUCAUAUCUUACUUAUAUCUUACUUUUGCAAUUAGGUCAAUAUACAAGACACAAUGCUUAGUAAUAAAAUGCAUUUUAAAGUAAUUUUUUUGCACACAUUUAUACAUGUCAUUUCCUGGGGACUGAAAUGGUACAGAUUCAGUGGAAUAUGUCAUAUAUUACAUAUAUUUUAUCAGGUAACUAGCUUUUAGAAAAUGUUAGGACUCCAGUAGUGACGUAGUUAUGUACGCAAAAAAUCCAUGUAAAAAUAUUAUUGUGUAAUUAAUUGCUGUUAUACGUAGACUAUGCUGAUAAUGAGGCAGUAAUUAAUUAAGAUAAACUACUGCGUUGUGGUGGGAUAGAAUGAAAAAAAAAACAUAAAAAGCACAUAGAAAUCAAGUAUUUGUGUGGGAAGAAAGCUAUCUGUGUGUUUGUGUGGCUAGUUGUUGUUGUUGUUUUGUUUUUUCCCCCCUCUCUCCUUUUCUGUUCAGCCCUCCCCUACAAGCAGGCGCCAUUUUGUUGUUAAGCAGCCUCCUGUCGUGAUGGAUACCUCAGCAGGUCAGGAGUCAGAGUUGAGCUGCAGUGGCGGCGACGCCUCUUUUUGUCUGCAGAGUGAAAAGCCGGUCACCGAGGCCUCUGCUGGAACUCCAUCAGGACCAGAGGAGAGAGGAGAGAAAGGGGAGAGCCAUGAAUGCAGCUGCGUGAUGAUGGGAUUCCUCGGGGGCACAAAACACCGCGCUGACAUCUCCACAGAGAGCUGCUGCUGUUGGGAAUAAUUCAGGACCCCUGCUGCCCCUUACAGAAUCACGGCCACCAGAUCGCCGACUGAUAGGGUGCUCAUUUACACCAUCCUUCUAAAUAUAAGACUGUCCAUCUUAGGUCUGCAUAUAGACACAAGGCAACAGCCUGACGUCCAAAUAUAGCAUACGGCCAGCAGAACUGACUGAAAGCUGAACUGGAUGCAGGCUUUACAGCACAGCUCAGCUUUGGUCAUUUAGAGAGGAAAGGGAAAAAAAAAGAUCCAUAAACACGCAUCUCUUUAAAGGCUU